rnacentral:lncRNA from 1 species
GUCAGUGCUUGGAAGGGCAACUUUGAAAGCUGGUCAUUAUGUCACAAUUGUGUUUGUGACAACAGGUGUUAAGAGGAAGAGAGGAGCAAGCAUAUAUAUAUGGCACUCCAGGAAGAUGAAGUGUAUGCAGCUGUAGUCUGGGAGGUCUGAUGUUAGGGAAAAAGAAGGAGGAAAGCAAGAUUAAAAAUCAUUCCUGGAAAUGCAAGAGAAAAUGUGCUGGAGUGGUGCUGUUAGUACCAGGGACACUGGACAAGAAAGAUAAGCAAGCCACUGCUGUCUGAUUCCUACAUAGCAGGUUAAAGUGUUGGAUUCAUAAUUCUCACUUCAGGAAGACUGAAAACCAGACUUUAUUCUGCUAGAUCCCAAGAUAUCAAGGAAGAGGAAAAGGGAAGAGCCCCAGGCACUAUUAAACCACAGCUACAAUCACUGCCAUUUGAAACUUCCCACCAAACAACUUUACUAUUCUGAUUUAAUUUCAACUCCCAGGGAGAGUUAGUAUUAAGAGGAAGUACCUAUCAUCCAUGAUAAUCCACCAGCUCUGGGGGUUUAGAAGGGAAAGGAUGGAGGUCUCAGUGCUUGAGGCUAGGCUGACAGCUGAGCAGGGCUCCAGCUCACCUUAAUCUCACUCCUGUGGAUGCCUGCACUAGGGGCCUGAGCAUUCUCCCAGAUCUCUGCAUAGGAGGCUGCCCUUAGGCAUUAUUAAGGUGUGAAAGCAGCAAGAAAGAGCAGAAUUAAACUGCUUUUCUCUAAUGUAUCCUUUUACAGCCCAGUGUAUUUUGCCCUAGGCUAGCCUUUUCUUCUCCUUUCACCCUCCACAUGCCAGUCCGAGACAGCCUUUCUUCUCACAGGAAUUAUUGUAUUAUUUCUUAAAUUCUUUUUUUCUUCUCCAUGGCUUUUCUAGAGGAAACCUAACAGUGUGGGUUUAUCAAUCAUUUUGACAAGACUCUGAAUUCCACUGAACAGAUUUUUGAAUAAAAAUUAUGAACAAAGAAAGUGUAGUAAAUCUGCUAAUAGAAAAACUGACUAUGCCUUGUGGGAAAAUUUUUGUGUGUGUGACAUUCCAUCGUGUACCUGCCAGAGAAGAAAACAAUUGGGCCUGUUACUCAAAUUGUUCAAUUUUUAAGCAGGUCCAUUGUUAUGAUUGGACUUUAUUCCAAUAUAAGCACUUGCAAAAGGAUGACAUAAAGUGAGAAUAUAAUAGAAUGAUUAUAUGUAAUGAGUUUACUGAAGAACUUCUACAUCUUGGAGUACAAACAAUGUUUUGGAUUUUUUUGUUUGUUUGUUUUUUUCCCAUCAUUUUCGGCAGUGUUUUCUUGCAUUUCUCCUUGCAAGCCUUUUAAACAAUAUCAUCUACAAUUUUCUGCUUGCUUAUGAUUAUCAAAAUUAAACCCAAUUCUAUUUAUUUAAAACUGCAACAUUUUUAUAUUUGAUCUAAAGUUCUUCUUACCCCAAGCAUACUUAAUCAGUCCUGCUCAGUGUUGCCCAUAGAAUGUUUUUGGUC